GAAAUGCGAUAAUUAAUGUGAAUUGCAGAAUUCAGUGAAUCAUCGAGUCUUUGAACGCACAUUGCGCCCCCUGGUAUUCCGGGGGGCAUGCCUGUCCGAGCGUCAUUGCUGCCCUCAAGCACGGCUUGUGUGUUGGGCUUCCGUCCCUGGCAACGGGGACGGGCCCAAAAGGCAGUGGCGGCACCAUGUCUGGUCCUCGAGCGUAUGGGGCUUUGUCACCCGCUCCCGUAGGUCCAGCUGGCAGCUAGCCGCGCAACCAAUCUUUUUAACCAGGUUGACCUCGGAUCAGGUAGGGAUACCCGCUGAACUUAAGC
rnacentral:misc_RNA from 1 species